GACCUUCGGGGGCUGAUUUUUGGGCGCGGGUGUGCCCGUGGCCUAUUUUUGGCACACGGAGGCCGCCCGCAAAGUCUGGGGCCAUUCCGAGUCCGGAGGACGAACUUCGCCCACGCCCCCCACCAAGGCUAUAGCCCACCCGUUUUUUGGCCAUUUUUCCGCUGGAGGGUCUUGGCGCCCCGACCUUCGGGGGCUGAUCUUUGGGCGCGGGUGUGCCCGUGGCCUAUUUUUGGCACACGGAGGCCGCCCGCAAAGUCUGGGGCCAUUCCGAGUCCGGCGGACGAACUUCGCCCACGCCCCCCACCAAGGCUAUAGCCCACCCGUUUUUUGGCCAUUUUUCCGCUGGGGGGUCUUGGCUCCCCGACCUUCGGGGGCUGAUUUUUGGGCGCGGGUGUGCCCGUGGCCUAUUUUUGGCACACGGAGGCCGCCCGCAAAGUCUGGGGCCAUUCCGAGUCCGGCGGACGAACUUCGCCCACGCCCCCCACCAAGCUAUAGCCCACCCGUUUUUUGCCAUUUUUCCGCUGGGGGGUCUUGGCGCCCCGACCUUCGGGGGCUGAAUUUUGGGCGCGGGUGUGCCCGUGGCCUAUUUUUGGCACACGGAGGCCGCCCGCAAAGUCUGGGGCCAUUCCGAGUCCGGCGGACGAACUUCGCCCACGCCCCCCACCAAGGCUAUAGCCCACCCGUUUUUUGGCCAUUUUUCCGCUGGGGGGUCUUGGCGCCCCGACCUUCGUGGGCUGAAUUUUGGGCGCGGGUGUGCCCGUGGCCUAUUUUUUGCACACGGAGGCCUUCCGCAAAGUCUGGGGCCAUUCCGAGUCCCGCGGACGAACUUCGCCCACGCCCCCCACCAAGGCUAUAGCCCACCCGUUUUUUGGCCAUUUUUCCGCUGGGGGGUCUUGGCGCCCCGACCUUCGGGGGCUGAAUUUUGGGCGCGGGUGUGCCCGUGGCCUAUUUUUGGCACACGGAGGCCGCCCGCAAAGUCUGGGGCCAUUCCGAGUCCGGCGGGCGAACUUCGCCCACGCCCCCCACCAAGGCUAUAGCCCACCCGUUUUUUGGCCAUUUUUCCGCUGGGGGGUCUUGGCGCCCCGACCUUCGGGGGCUGAAUUUUGGGCGCGGGUGUGCCCGUGGCCUAUUUUUGGCACACGGAGGCCGCCCGCAAAGUCUGGAGCCAUUCCGAGUCCGGCGGACAAACUUCGCCCACGUCCCCCACCAAGGCUAUAGCCCACCCGUUUUUUGGCCAUUUUUCCGCUGGGGGGUCUUGGCGCCCCGACCUUCGGGGGCUGAAUUUUGGGCGCGGGUGUGCCCGUGGCCUAUUUUUGGCACACGGAGGCCGCCCGCAAAGUCUGGGGCCAUUCCGAGUCCGGCGGACGAACUUCGCCCACGCCCCCCACCAAGGCUAUAGCCCACCCGUUUUUUGGCCAUUUUUCCGCUAGGGGGUCUUGGCGCCCCGACCUUCGGGGGCUGAUUUUUGGGCGCGGGUGUGCCCGUGGCCUAUUUUUGGCACACGGAGGCCGCCCGCAAAGUCUGGGGCCAUUCCGAGUCCGGCGGACGAACUUCGCCCACGCCCCCCACCAAGGCUAUAGCCCACCCGUUUUUUGGCCAUUUUUCCGCUGGGGGGUCUUGGCGCCCCGACCUUCGGGGGCUGAUUUUUGGGCGCGGGUGUGCCCGUGGCCUAUUUUUGGCACACGGAGGCCGCCCGCAAAGUCUGGGGCCAUUCCGAGUCCGGCGGACGAACUUCGCCCACGCCCCCCACCAAGGCUAUAGCCCACCCGUUUUUUGGCCAUUUUUCCGCUGGGGGGUCUUGGCUCCCCGACCUUCGGGGGCUGAUUUUUGGGCGCGGGUGUGCCCGUGGCCUAUUUUUGGCACACGGAGGCCGCCCGCAAAGUCUGGGGCCAUUCCGAGUCCGGCGGACGAACUUCGCCCACGCCCCCCACCAAGGCUAUAGCCCACCCGUUUUUUGGCCAUUUUUCCGCUGGGGGGUCUUGGCGCCCCGACCUUCGGGGGCUGAUUUUUGGGCGCGGGUGUGCCCGUGGCCUAUUUUUGGCACACGGAGGCCGCCCGCAAAGUCUGGGGCCAUUCCGAGUCCGGCGGACGAACUUCGCCCACGCCCCGCACCAAGGCUAUAGCCCACCCGUUUUUUGGCCAUUUUUCCGCUGGGGGGUCUUGGCGCCCCGACCUUCGGGGGCUGAAUUUUGGGCGCGGGUGUGCCCGUGGCCUAUUUUUGGCACACGGAGGCCGCCCGCAAAGUCUGGGGCCAUUCCGAGUCCGGCGGACGAACUUCGCCCACGCCCCCCACCAAGGCUAUAGCCCACCCGUUUUUUGGCCAUUUUUCCGCUGGGGGGUCUUGGCGCCCCGACCUUCGGGGGCUGAUUUUUGGGCGCGGCUGUGCCCGUGGCCUAUUUUUGGCACACGGAGGCCGCCCGCAAAGUCUGGGGCCAUUCCGAGUCCGGCGGACGAACUUCGCCCACCACCCCCACCAAGGCUAUAGCCCACCCGUUUUUUGGCCAUUUAUCCGCUGGGGGGUCUUGGCGCCCCGACCUUCGGGGGCUGAAUUUUGGGCGCGGGUGUGCCCGUGGCCUAUUUUUGGCACACGGAGGCCGCCCGCAAAGUCUGGGGCCAUUCCGAGUCCGGCGGACGAACUUCGCCCACGCCCCCCACCAAGGCUAUAGCCCACCCGUUUUUUGGCCAUUUUUCCGCUGGGGGGUCUUGGCGCCCCGACCUUCGGGGGCUGAUUUUUGGGCGCGGGUGUGCCCGUGGCCUAUUUUUGGCACACGGAGGCCGCCCGCAAAGUCUGGGGCCAUUCCGAGUCCGGCGGACGAACUUCGCCCACGCCCCCCACCAAGGCUAUAGCCCACCCGUUUUUUGGCCAUUUUUCCGCUGGGGGGUCUUGGCUCCCCGACCUUCGGGGGCUGAUUUUUGGGCGCGGGUGUGCCCGUGGCCUAUUUUUGGCACACGGAGGCCGCCCGCAAAGUCUGGGGCCAUUCCGAGUCCGGCGGACGAACUUCGCCCACGCCCCCCACCAAGGCUAUAGCCCACCCGUUUUUUGGCCAUUUUUCCGCUGGGGGGUCUUGGCGCCCCGACCUUCGGGGGCUGAAUUUUGGGCGCGGGUGUGCCCGUGGCCUAUUUUUUGCACACGGAGGCCGCCCGCAAAGUCUGGGGCCAUUCCGAGUCCGGCGGACGAACUUCGCCCACGCCCCCCACCAAGGCUAUAGCCCACCCGUUUUUUGGCCAUUUUUCCGCUGGGGGGUCUUGGCGCCCCGACCUUCGGGGGCUGAAUUUUGGGCGCGGGUGUGCCCGUGGCCUAUUUUUGGCACACGGAGGCCGCCCGCAAAGUCUGGGGCCAUUCCGAGUCCGGCGGACGAACUUCGCCCACGCCCCCCACCAAGGCUAUAGCCCACCCGUUUUUUGGCCAUUUUUCCGCUGGGGGGUCUUGGCGCCCCGACCUUCAGGGGCUGAUUUUUGGGCGCGGGUGUGCCCGUGGCCUAUUUUUGGCAAACGGAGGCCGCCCGCAGAGUCUGGGGCCAUUCCGAGUCCGGCGGACGAGCUUCGCCCACGCCCCCCACCAAGGCUAUAGCCCACCCGUUUUUUGGCCAUUUUUCCGCUGGGGGGUCUUGGCGCCCCGACCUUCGGGGGCUGAUUUUUGGGCGCGGGUGUGCCCGUGGCCUAUUUUUGGCACACGGAGGCCGCCCGCAAAGUCUGGGGCCAUUCCGAGUCCGGCGGACGAACUUCGCCCACGCCCCCCACCAAGGCUAUAGCCCACCCGUUUUUUGGCCAUUUUUCCGCUGGGGGGUCUUGGCGCCCCGACCUUCGGGGGCUGAUUUUUGGGCGCGGGUGUGCCCGUGGCCUAUUUUUGGCAUACGGAGGCCGCCCGCAAAGUCUGGGGCCAUUCCGAGUCCGGCGGACGAACUUCGCCCACGCCCCCCACCAAGGCUAUAGCCCACCCGUUUUUUGGCCAUUUUUCCGCUGGGGGGUCUUGGCUCCCCGACCUUCGGGGGCUGAUUUUUGGGCGCGGGUGUGCCCGUGGCCUAUUUUUGGCACACGGAGGCCGCCCGCAAAGUCUGGGGCCAUUCCGAGUCCGGCGGACGAACUUCGCCCACGCCCCCCACCAAGGCUAUAGCCCACCCGUUUUUUGGCCAUUUUUCCGCUGGGGGGUCUUGGCGCCCCGACCUUCGGGGGCUGAAUUUUGGGCGCGGGUGUGCCCGUGGCCUAUUUUUGGCACACGGAGGCCGCCCGCAAAGUCUGGGGCCAUUCCGAGUCCGGCGGACGAACUUCGCCCACGCCCCCCACCAAGGCUAUAGCCCACCCGUUUUUUGGCCAUUUUUCCGCUGGGGGGACUUGGCUCCCCGACCUUCGGGGGCUGAUUUUUGGGCGCGGGUGUGCCCGUGGCCUAUUUUUGGCACACGGAGGCCGCCCGCAAAGUCUGGGGCCAUUCCGAGUCCGGCGGACGAACUUCGCCCACGCCCCCCACCAAGGCUAUAGCCCACCCGUUUUUUGGCCAUUUUUCCGCUGGGGGGUCUUGGCGCCCCGACCUUCGGGGGCUGAAUUUUGGGCGCGGGUGUGCCCGUGGCCUAUUUUUGGCACACGGAGGCCGCCCGCAAAGUCUGGGGCCAUUCCGAGUCCGGCGGACGAACUUCGCCCACGCCCCCCACCAAGGCUAUAGCCCACCCGUUUUUUGGCCAUUUUUCCGCUGGGGGGUCUUGGCGCCCCGACCUUCGGGGGCUGAAUUUUGGGCGCGGGUGUGCCCGUGGCCUAUUUUUGGCACACGGAGGCCGCCCGCAAAGUCUGGGGCCAUUCCGAGUCCGGCGGACGAACUUCGCCCACGCCCCCCACCAAGGCUAUAGCCCACCCGUUUUUUGGCCAUUUUUCCGCUGGGGGGUCUUGGCGCCCCGACCUUCGGGGGCUGAAUUUUGGGCGCGGGUGUGUCCGUGGCCUAUUUUUGGCACACGGAGGCCGCCCGCAAAGUCUGGGGCCAUUCCGAGUCCGGCGGACGAACUUCGCCCACGCCCCCCACCAAGGCUAUAGCCCACCCGUUUUUUGGCCAUUUUUCCGCUGGGGGGUCUUGGCGCCCCGACCUUCGGGGGCUGAAUUUUGGGCGCGGGUGUGCCCGUGGCCUAUUUUUGGCACACGGAGGCCGCCCGCAAAGUCUGGGGCCAUUCCGAGUCCGGCGGACGAGCUUCGCCCACACCCCCCACCAAGGCUAUAGCCCACCCGUUUUUUGGCCAUUUUUCCGCUGGGGGGUCUUGGCGCCCCGACCUUCGGGGGCUGAAUUUUGGGCGCGGGUGUGCCCGUGGCCUAUUUUUGGCACACGGAGGCCGCCCGCAAAGUCUGGGGCCAUUCCGAGUCCGGCGGACGAACUUCGCCCACGCCCCCCACCAAGGCUAUAGCCCACCCGUUUUUUGGCCAUUUUUCCGCUGGGGGGUCUUGGCGCCCCGACCUUCGGGGGCUGAUUUUUGGGCGCGGGUGUGCCCGUGGCCUAUUUUUGGCACACGGAGGCCGCCCGCAAAGUCUGGGGCCAUUCCGAGUCCGGCGGACGAACUUCGCCCACGCCCCCCACCAAGGCUAUAGCCCACCCGUUUUUUGGCCAUUUUUCCGCUGGGGGGUCUUGGCGCCCCGACCUUCGGGGGCUGAAUUUUGGGCGCGGGUGUGCCCGUGGCCUAUUUUUGGCACACGGAGGCCGCCCGCAAAGUCUGGGGCCAUUCCGAGUCCGGCGGACGAACUUCGCCCACGCCCCCCACCAAGGCUAUAGCCCACCCGUUUUUUGGCCAUUUUUCCGCUGGGGGGUCUUGGCGCCCCGACCUUCGGGGGCUGAAUUUUGGGCGCGGGUGUGCCCGUGGCCUAUUUUUGGCACACGGAGGCCGCCCGCAAAGUCUGGGGCCAUUCCGAGUCCGGCGGACGAACUUCGCCCACGCCCACCACCAAGGCUAUAGCCCACCCGUUUUUUGGCCAUUUUUCCGCUGGGGGGUCUUGGCGCCCCGACCUUCGGGGGCUGAAUUUUGGGCGCGGGUGUGCCCGUGGCCUAUUUUUGGCACACGGAGGCCGCCCGCAAAGUCUGGGGCCAUUCCGAGUCCGGCGGACGAGCUUCGCCCACGCCCCCCACCAAGGCUAUAGCCCACCCGUUUUUUGGCCAUUUUUCCGCUGGGGGGUCUUGGCGCCCCGACCUUCGGGGGCUUAAUUUUGGGCGCGGGUGUGCCCGUGGCCUAUUUUUGGCACACGGAGGGCGCCCGCAAAGUCUGGGGCCAUUCCGAGUCCGGCGGACGAACUUCGCCCACGUCCCCCACCAAGGCUAUAGCCCACCCAUUUUUUGGCCAUUUUUCCGCUGGGGGGUCUUGGCGCCCCGACCUUCGGGGGCUGAUUUUUGGGCGCGGGUGUGCCCGUGGCCUAUUUUUGGCACACGGAGGCCGCCCGCAAAGUCUGGGGCCAUUCCGAGUCCGGCGGACGAACUUCGCCCACGCCCCCCACCAAGGCUAUAGCCCACCCGUUUUUUGGCCAUUUUUCCGCUGGGGGGUCUUGGCGCCCCGACCUUCGGGGGCUGAUUUUUGGGCGCGGGUGUGCCCGUGGCCUAUUUUUGGCACACGGAGGCCGCCCGCAAAGUCUGGGGCCAUUCCGAGUCCGGCGGACGAACUUCGCCCACGCCCCCCACCAAGGCUAUAGCCCACCCGUUUUUUGGCCAUUUUUCCGCUGGGGGGUCUUGGCGCCCCGACCUUCGGGGGCUGAUUUUUGGGCGCGGGUGUGCCCGUGGCCUAUUUUUGGCACACGGAGGCCGCCCGCAAAGUCUGGGGCCAUUCCGAGUCCGGCGGACGAGCUACGCCCACGCCCCCCACCAAGGCUAUAGCCCACCCAUUUUUUGGCCAUUUUUCCGCUGGGGGGUCUUUGCGCCCCGACCUUCGGGGGCUGAAUUUUGGGCGCGGGUGUGCCCGUGGCCUAUUUUUGGCACACGGAGGCCGCCCGCAAAGUCUGGGGCCAUUCCGAGUCCGGCGGACGAACUUCGCCCACGCCCCCCACCAAGGCUAUAGCCCACCCGUUUUUUGGCCAUUUUUCCGCUGGGGGGUCUUGGCGCCCCGACCUUCGGGGGCUGAUUUUUGGGCGCGGGUGUGCCCGUGGCCUAUUUCGGGCACACGGAGGCCGCCCGCAAAGUCGGGGGCCAUUUCGAGUCCGGCGGACGAACUUCGCCCACGCCCCCCACCAAGGCUAUAGCCCACCCGUUUUUUGGCCAUUUUUCCGCUGGGGGGUCUUGGCGCCCCGACCUUCGGGGGCUGAAUUUUGGGCGCGGGUGUGCCCGUGGCCUAUUUUUGGCACACGGAGGCCGCCCGCAAAGUCUGGGGCCAUUCCGAGUCCGGCGGACGAACUUCGCCCACGCCCCCCACCAAGGCUAUAGCCCACCCGUUUUUUGGCCAUUUUUCCGCUGGGGGGUUUUGGCACCACGACCUUCGCGCGCUUAUUUCUGGGCGCGGCUUUGCCCGCGGCUUAUUUUUGGCACCCCGAGGCCCCUCGCAAAGUCUCGCCCCAUUCCGAGUCCGGCGGACGAACUUCGCCCGCGCCCCCCACCAAGGCUAUAGCCCACCCGUUUUUUGGCCAUUUUUCCGCUGGGGGGUUUUGGCACCACGACCUUCGCGCGCUUAUUUCUGGGCGCGGCUUUGCCCGCGGCUUAUUUUUGGCACCCCGAGGCCCCUCGCAAAGUCUCGCCGCAUUCCGAGUCCGGCGGACGAACGUCGCCCGCGCCCCCCACCAAGUCUAUAGCCCACCCGUUUUUUGGCCAUUUUUCCGCUCGGGGGUUUUGGCACCACGACCUUCGGGCGCUUAUUUUUGGGCGCGGCUUUGCCCGCGGCUUAUUUUUGGCACCCCGAGGCCCCUCGCAAAGUCUCGCCCCAUUCCGAGUCCGGCGGACGAACUUCGCCCGCGCCCCCCACCAAGGCUAUAGCCCACCCGUUUUUUGGCCAUUUUUCCGCUGGGGGGUCUUGGCGCCCCGACCUUCGGGGGCUGAUUUUUGGGCGCGGGUGUGCCCGUGGCCUAUUUUUGGCACACGGAGGCCGCCCGCAAAGUCUGGGGCCAUUCCGAGUCCGGCGGACGAACUUCGCCCACGCCCCCCACCAAGGCUAUAGCCCACCCGUUUUUUGGCCAUUUUUCCGCUGGGGGGUCUUGGCGCCCCGACCUUCGGGGGCUGAAUUUUGGGCGCGGGUGUGCCCGUGGCCUAUUUUUGGCACACGGAGGCCGCCCGCAAAGUCUGGGGCCAUUCCGAGUCCGGCGGACGAACUUCGCCCACGCCCCCCACCAAGGCUAUAGCCCACCCGUUUUUUGGCCAUUUUUCCGCUGGGGGGUCUUGGCGCCCCGACCUUCGGGGGCUGAAUUUUGGGCGCGGGUGUGCCCGUGGCCUAUUUUUGGCACACGGAGGCCGCCCGCAAAGUCUGGGGCCAUUCCGAGUCCGGCGGACGAACUUCGCCCACGCCCCCCACCAAGGCUAUAGCCCACCCGUUUUUUGGCCAUUUUUCCGCUGGGGGGUCUUGGCGCCCCGACCUUCGGGGGCUGAAUUUUGGGCGCGGGUGUGCCCGUGGCCUAUUUUUGGCACACGGAGGCCGCCCGCAAAGUCUGGGGCCAUUCCGAGUCCGGCGGACGAACUUCGCCCACGCCCCCCACCAAGGCUAUAGCCCACCCGUUUUUUGGCCAUUUUUCCGCUGGGGGGUCUUGGCGCCCCGACCUUCGGGGGCUGAUUUUUGGGCGCGGGUGUGCCCGUGGCCUAUUUUUGGCACACGGAGGCCGCCCGCAAAGUCUGGGGCCAUUCCGAGUCCGGCGGACGAACUUCGCCCACGCCCCCCACCAAGGCUAUAGCCCACCCGUUUUUUGGCCAUUUUUCCGCUGGGGGGUCUUGGCGCCCCGACCUUCGGGGACUGAUUUUUGGGCGCGGCUGUGCCCGUGGCCUAUUUUUGGCACACGGAGGCCGCCCGCAAAGUCUGGGGCCAUUCCGAGUCCGGCGGACGAACUUCGCCCACGCCCCCCACCAAGGCU
rnacentral:lncRNA from 1 species